GACGUAGGGUGCAAGCGUUGUCCGGAAUCAUUGGGCGUAAAGCGCGCGUAGGUGGCUUCGUCAGUCCGUUGUGAAAGUCAAAGGCUCAACCUUUGAAUGCCGAUGGAUACUGCGAAGCUAGAGUACGGAAGAGGCGAGUGGAAUUCCUGGUGUAGCGGUGGAAUGCGCAGAUAUCAGGAGGAACACCGGUGGCGAAGGCGGCCUACUGGGCCAGCACUGACGCUGAGGCGCGAAAGCUCGGGGAGCGAACGGG
rnacentral:rRNA from 1 species